UGGGGAAUAUUGCACAAUGGGGGAAACCCUGAUGCAGCGACGCCGCGUGAGCGAAGAAGGUUUUCGAAUCGUAAAGCUCUGUCCUUUGGGAAGAUAAUGACGGUACCAUAGGAGGAAGCCCCGGCUAACUACGUGCCAGCAGCCGCGGUAAUACGUAGGGGGCAAGCGUUGUCCGGAAUCACUGGGCGUAAAGGGUUCGCAGGCGGAAAUGCAAGUCAGUUGUGAAAGGCAGAGGCUCAACCUCUGUAAGCAAUUGAAACUGUAUUUCUUGAGAUGUGGAGAGGCAAGUGGAAUUCCUAGUGUAGCGGUGAAAUGCGUAGAUAUUAGGAAGAAUACCGGUGGCGAAGGCGACUUGCUGGACACAAACUGACGCUGAGGAACGAAAGCGUGGGUAGCAAACAGG
rnacentral:rRNA from 1 species